rnacentral:rRNA from 1 species
AUUGAACGCUGGCGGCAGGCCUAACACAUGCAAGUCGAGCGGAUGAAGGGAGCUUGCUCCUGGAUUCAGCGGCGGACGGGUGAGUAAUGCCUAGGAAUCUGCCUGGUAGGGGGGGAUAACGUCCGGAAACGGGCGCUAAUACCGCAUACGUCCUGAGGGAGAAAGCGGGGGAUCUUCGGACCUCACGCUAUCAGAUGAGCCUAGGUCGGAUUAGCUAGUUGGUGGGGUAAAGGCCUACCAAGGCGACGAUCGGUAACUGGUCUGAGAGGAUGAUCAGUCACACUGGAGCUGAGACACGGCCCAGACUCCGACGGGAGGCAGCAGCGGGGAAUAUUGGACAAUGGGCGAAAGCCUGAUCCAGCCACGCCGGGGGGGUGAAGAAGGUCUUCGGAUUGUAAAGCACUUUAAGGUGGGAGGAAGGGUAGUAAGUUAAUACCUGGCUGUUUUGACGUUACCAACAGAAUAAGCACCGGCUAACUUCGU